CAGAAUAAAAUGUAUUGUUAAAGUGACAUUAUCUUGUCCCAGACAAUAUUUAUCUUCCCAAAAUACCUGGGAUAAGGAGCUAAACACUACAAAGGCUUCCAUACAAAGUUUCUUUAUUGGAUUAUAUCAGGCAUCCUCAAGGUAUAACUCACAGUUACGUUGAGAUUCAUCUAAUGUCCAAUCUUUGCAUUGUCGU